rnacentral:ncRNA from 1 species
UAUUUGCCUACCGAGGUUCUUACGGGUGACGGGGAAUCAGGGUUCGAUUCCGGAGAGGGAGCCUGAGAAACGGCUACCACAUCCAAGGAAGGCAGCAGGCGCGCAAAUUACCCAUUCCCGACGCGGGGAGGUAGUGACGAAAAAUAACAAUGCAGGACUCGUUCGAGGCCCUGUAAUUGGAAUGAGUACACUUUAAAAGCUUUAACGAGUAUCCAUUGGAGGGCAAGUCUGGUGCCAGCAGCCGCGGUAAUUCCAGCUCCAAAAGUAUAUAUUUAAGUUGUUGCGGUUAAAAAGCUCGUAGUUGGAUUUUGGGCGCAGGCGGCCGGUCCGUCGCAAGGCGUGUACUGGACGUCCUGGCCUUCCCUCCGGUUCUCCGCCGGUGCUCUUGACUGAGUGUCGGCGGCGGCCGGAACGUUUACUUUGAAAAAAUUAGAGUGUUCAAAGCAGGCUCUCGAGCCUGGAUAAUGGUGCAUGGAAUAAUGGAAUAGGACCUCGGUUCUAUUUUGUUGGUUUUCGGAGCGCGAGGUAAUGAUUAAGAGGGACAGACGGGGGCAUUCGUACUGUGCCGUUAGAGGUGAAAUUCUUGGAUCGGCGCAAGACGAACGACUGCGAAAGCAUUUGCCAAGAAUGUUUUCUUUAAUCAAGAGCGAAAGUCAGAGGUUCGAAGACGAUCAAAUACCGUCCUAGUUCUGACUAUAAACGGAGCC